CCCCCCCAAUAGAGUUUCACUGUGUAGCCCCGAUUAGUCUGGAACUCCCUUUGUAGAACAGGCUAGUCUUGAGCAGACUACCUUUUGAAAGUAUCCUUUUUUGUAAGAGUGCACAGCCAAUUCCACAUAAGUCCUCUGAACUCUGGUACUGGGCAUUGGGAAGGCCCUUGUUUCUGGAGAGGCCGACUGUCCUUAGCUUAGAGUCAAGCCAUUCUGGUAUUUAUCAGCUCUGAUCUUGGGUAUAUCCCGGAACUUCCGGUGCCCUAUUCAUUAGUUAGGUAUGCUAAGUGAGCCCUACUAGAAAGGUUUGCUGAAAGGGCUGAAACCAGACGACGAAUGUGCGUUAGGCCCUUUAAAGGGGUUUACAGUGCGCCUUUAGAAACCCUGUCGACUGCGUGGCGGUGUGUGCCUUGUAUUUUUAAGUGCAGAACACAGCUUUCCCAAGAGAUCAG
rnacentral:lncRNA from 1 species